rnacentral:sRNA from 1 species
GAAACUGUUACCUCACACGAGGUACGUAACAAAAGCCGGGGUUUACGGUAACGAAAACCCCG